AUGCAGCCGGCACGCACCUCUCCUCUGACGGGAACCGAAGGAGCCGGUAGGUUUUCACACUUGCAGCAGAUCCGCUAAGAGAACGCGGGAUUCAGCCGAGAAGCCACGGGGAGCCCGAGGAGCGGAGCAGAGGCACCCAGGCAGCCUGCGCGGAGAAAUUGGAUCGGCGGGGACGGCCUGCAGCUCCCGCGCGCGGGGAAAGGGAAGAAGUCCUCCCCUACAAAGCAAAUUCACAAACUUGGAAGAAGCAAUUUACACAGGAUGUGCAGAUCUCAAUGGAAGGACACGGGAAACGUGAAAAAGCAAGGAAGUGGGACGCCUCCAAAGGAACCCAGUAAUUCUCCAGCAACAGAUCCCCAUCCAAAAGAAAUUCAAGAAAUGUCAUAUAGAGAAUUGUGGAAACUGAUUUUAACCAAGAUUAGAGGGAUUCAAGAGACUUCUGAAAAAGAAAGUAAGGAAAUGUCAACAGCAAUUCUGGAUAUGGUUGAGGUAUUUACCAACCAGAUACAGAGUUUUCCAGAGCACAUGGCAAAUGUGGAACUGAAGAAAUCACUGGAUGAAAUACAAAGUAUACUCGAAAGCUUCAAUGAUAGACUAGAUCAAGCAGAAAAAAAACUCUCAAAACUUAAAAUCUGAAGGCUUUUACUCAAUUCAAAUAUUUAAUGGGUUGUACUCUGGCCAUUCAGGUGAACAAAAUCUGCUGGG
rnacentral:lncRNA from 1 species